rnacentral:rRNA from 1 species
UUACCCAAUCCCGAUUCGGGGAGGUAGUGACAAUAAAUAACAAUACAGGGCCAACGGUCUUGUUAUUGGAAUGAGAACAAUUUAAAUAACUUAACGAGGAUCAAUUAGAGGGCAAGUCUGGUGCCAGCAGCCGCGGUAAUUCCAGCUCUAAUAGCGUAUAUUAAAGUUGUCGCAGUUAAAAAGCUCGUAGUCGGAUGUCGGGCUCGGGCAAGCUGUCGGCCUUUGGUCGGACGGCAGGCUCGGGUCUUUCUGCCUGAGGAACCCGGUUGCUUUAACGAGCUGCCGGUGGACGCAGGUCGUUUACUUUGAAAAAAUUAGAGUGUUCAAAGCAGGCUAGCGCUUGAAUACAUUAGCAUGGAAUAAUGGAAUAGGACUUUGGUGCUAUUUUGUUGGUUUAUGGGACCGAAGUAAUGAUUAACAGGGACAGUUGGGGCCGUUUAUAUUUCGUUGUCAGAGGUGAAAUUCUUGGAUUUACGAAAGAUAAACUUCUGCGAAAGCAUUCGGCAAGGAUGUUUUCAUUGAUCAAGAACGAAAGUUAGGGGAUCGAAGACGAUCAGAUACCGUCGUAGUCUUAACCAUAAACUAUGCCGACUAGGGAUCAGUGGAUGUCAAUUUGCGACUCCAUUGGCACCUUGUGAGAAAUCAAAGUUUUUGGGUUCCGGGGGGAGUAUGGUCGCAAGGCUGAAACUUAAAGGAAUUGACGGAAGGGCACCACCAGGAGUGGAGCCUGCGGCUUAAUUUGACUCAACACGGGGAAACUUACCAGGUCCAGACAUAGUAAGGAUUGACAGAUUGAAAGCUCUUUCUUGAUUCUAUGGGUGGUGGUGCAU